UGAGCCAUGCGUCCAGCCAGAAGUUGAUAAAAAAAAAAAAAAAAGGAAAACAACAAAACUGAAGCUCUUCCAAUACCCGAGUAUGAUACUUAUUGUAAAACCACUGAUGGCCAGGAGUGGUGGCUCACACCUGUAAUCCCUUUGGGAGGCUGAGGCAGGAGUUCAACACCACACUAUUCCACAUAGUGAGACCCUAUCUCUACAAAAAAAAUGUAAAAAUUAGCAAGAUCUGGUGGUGCAUGCCUACAGUCCCAGCUACUUAGGAGGCUAUGGCAAGAGGCUCAGUCGAGCCCAGAUGUUCGAGGUUACAUUGAGCUAUGAUUGUGCCACUACACUCCAGCCUGGGCAACAGAAUGAGACUCUGCCUCAAAUAAAACUACAAUAAUCAAUAGUGUCAUAUUGGUGUAAAGCCAUACACACAAGAUGAGGAACAGACCACGUCCAUGUCACUUAAGUUGGAAAAGUGGAGUCUUUCAACAAAUAGAACUGAAACAAGCAACUAUCCAACAGA